rnacentral:rRNA from 1 species
UUGACCUCGGAUCAGGUAGGGAUACCCGCUGAACUUAAGCAUAUCAAUAAGCGGAGGAAAAGAAACCAACAGGGAUUGCCUCAGUAACGGCGAGUGAAGCGGCAACAGCUCAAAUUUGAAUACUG